rnacentral:rRNA from 1 species
UACGAGGGGGCAAGCGUUGUUCGGAUUAUUGGGCGUAAGGGUGCGUAGGCGGUUUGGCAAGUCUUGUGUGAAAUCUUUGGGCUCAACCCAAAGUCUGCACAAGAAACUGCCGGGCUUGAGUAUGGGAGAGGUGAGUGGAAGUUUCCGGUGUAGCGGUGAAAUGACGUGAGAUAUCGGAAGGAACACCUGUGGCGAAAGCGGCUCACUGGACCAUACUGACGCUGAGGCACGAAAGCUAGGGGAGCAAACAGG